UUGAGGGGAGAUGGAACCCUGAGCAGCCCAUGUACACGGAAGAUCUUUAUUGCAGAGAUCUUCAAACCAGGAUCUUCUAAGGGUGUGAGGAUACAGGCGUCAAAGACCCCAUGCUGAGACAGCUCCAUAACAACAUGCAGAUAUUUGGCAAUGAGGGUUCAGAAGAGGACUUGCUGUGGAGAAGAGAGAAAAGAGAUGGGAAGACUCUGUGAAUGAAUAGAGAACACUCUGCAAGCAUCCCAGUUCCUUUGGUUGCCCUGCAGUCUGCAGGUGCCAGGAGAAAUCAGAAGCCACCUGGAAGGGCUGUCUGUCUGUAUGGAGUCAAGGCAGGGUCUUCAAAUCUAUGCUUUCUAAAACAAAGAAAUAACCUUGAUGAAACAAAUUUUCCCCAGAGGAAGGGGAGAGCCCACAGCGAGCUGGUAAAGAAGAUGCCUGGAGCAGGCGGCAUCCUCAAAUGGAAGGCAGUUGCCCUCAAAUCACUUAACUAGGAUGACCUACUUUGCUUUCCUGUAUAGCCAGGUCUGUUAUCAGACCCUUAUCUUGGGAGGCAUCUUGCCAGAGCCCGGGGCAAGAAAAGGCUGAUAUCCAGGAAUGCAGGUGAAAUUAUAGCUAUUAGCCCUGUCUUAGAGUGUGAGGAAAAUAUGCCCUCCUAUCCCUGGCUAAGUUUGGGUUCCCAUGUCAUAAAUUGCCUCCCUCUCUGAUAGCUCUGCAUAAACAUCCCAGGGACUCAAAGUAACAUUUGAUUUCCCAAAGAGAAUAUUUGCAUUUGUAACUGUCAGAAAUAGGAGAGAUCAUCAAAGCUAAAUGAAUUGGGCUAUAAACAGUUUGAAAUAUGUCUUUAAAUUUUAAAAAACAUGUUUUUUGUUUGUUUGUUUUGGGGAGAGAGGAUCAUUUAGACUCAACAACAAAACAGAAAACUGUGAGUGCCAUUUUGAGACAAGACCUACCUGGUCCUUCCCCCUCAUACUUUCUGCUACCCCG
rnacentral:antisense_RNA from 1 species